UGACAGGGGAGAUUGGUCCUUUAUAGUUCUAGACUUACAGAUAUGCUCAUAAACCAGAGAUCCCUUAACAGUAACAAUUACCAUUUCUUGAGCAUUGUGAUGGUCAAUUCACUUAUCUUCUCUGCCUCUCUGGGCUCUGCAAGCCUGACCUCUGUGGACUGCUUGAUCCAGGUUUGGAGCCCUCAGUUUCACCCAUGGAAGCCAUACACAAGAGAUCAGAAGGCAGGAAAACAGAGCUGUUAAAGCUUCCAAGUACAAAUGAAGUGACCCUCGUCAAGCAACAGAGAAACAAAUUCUCCAGCAGCUAUUUCCUGUCUGACAGUUGGCGUGCUUCACUGACUGUAGUGUCAGCCUCGAAACCUUCAUCAUAAGUGUCAUUUGGUCUUAACUUUGCAAUAAGAAUUCCACCCAUGUGCCCAGGGCUCCUCUGGCAGCCUCUUCCGUCUCCACUGGCCAAUCGAGAAAUCUCCCUCACCAAACUGUCAACUCCUGAGAAAUGACCCCAUCCAUCUCUGAGACCUGCAGUCCUAAUAGAGCGCAUUGCUCCAAAUUUGAAGGAGGAAGAAAGGAAAAGAGAGCAGAGGAAAGGAAAAGGGAAAAAAUAAGAGGGAGAAGGACAGAAUAUAC
ensembl:lncRNA